rnacentral:tRNA from 1 species
GGGGCGGUGGCGCAGUUGGGAGCGCGUUAGACUGAAGUCGCAAACCUCAGUUCCAGUUCUUCGGAAUAUCUAAAGGUCACCGGUUCGAUCCCGGUUCACCCCA